GGCCCAAUAGCUCAGGGAUCAGAGCACUGGUCUUGUAAACCAGGGGUCAUGAGUUCAAAUAUCACUGGGACCU
rnacentral:tRNA from 1 species